CCGGCUUCACUCAAGGCGGCGGCGGAAGCCCGCGCAACCUCCGAUGCUUGUGCACGCACUUCCAGGGACUGGCAGCAUGUCACCAUCACCUCCUGAGAAGAUUUUGGCCAUUGAGUUUUAAGAAGUGUCGUGUGGUGUUUCUAGAAAAUCCCGAAAGAGAAAGAGUGAAGACCUGUUCUUCCCCUUCUUUGAUACUGCCACUUGGAAUAUAGUUGUUGUGACUGGCGCUCCAAAAUUCAUGCUGGACCAAGAGGACAAGGGCUGUACCUAAGGCAAAACAACAGAAAACCGAAGGGAUCUUGGUAUGGUGUGGAGCUAUUAUACCAGCCCUGGACCAUCUUCUCCUUUUAUGUGAGAGAGAAAGAACCAUCUGUCUUGUUUAUAACAUUGCUCUCUGGAGUUUCUAUUACUCUGCUGAAUUUUAUCCUCGCCAAUCUGGAUGAAUUGAUUAUUGGACUGAAUACAACAAAUAGAAAGCUAUUUGAGGGAAAAGGACACCAUUGAUGGAGUCUGUUGGGACAGUGGAGCAUGGGCAGGACACUUUAAGCCUCUGCUCACAUGUGGUCCCACUUCCCACCACCUCUGUGCCUCCUGCCUCUCUGGGUUCUUGGCUGCCCACUCCCCACCUAUAGUGCUCUGGGUGGCAAGCAAGGUAGGUGGUCUGGGUAGGGGGAUUGUGACUCUGGCUGGGGUCUGGGCAUGGAUGCCAAAAGGUUGAAGAGGGGUACCUGUGCCCAGCAGCAUCUCCCCAAAGGGCAUGGCAGCAGCUGUGCCACCUUGGACGGGUAGCUCCACGAGUGCAUUUAGUGGGCGACUCCACCGCGGCAAGCCUUUCACUCACACCUGAUGUAGGAGCCAAGUGCAUCCUGGUGCGAAGGCUGCAGUGCCUUUGGAGGACUUGCUGGUCCCCAAUAUAUCAGGUGCAGUGCUACACAGUGAGUCCAGAAUGGGGCCCGAGGUGCCUACAGAGAUCACAUUUCCCCAGGCGCAUCCCUGUACCCAAGGGAGCAUGACAUUAAAUAGCAAAAUUAAAUUAAAUCAGAUGAGUUUAAAUGCAAUUAACAAUAUUAAAUACACAUUGAAUAAAACACCAUGACAGAUCAGGAGAGAAACCACAAAAGAAAAAGGUUAAUAUUUUAGUAUCAUUUUUUAACAAUUAUUUUAUUUUUAAAGAUUUAUUUAUAUUAGAGAGAGAGAGUGAGAGGAGGAGCAGAGGAAGAGAGAGAGAGAAGCAAACUCCCCACUGAGCAUGGACACUGAUGCAGGGCUCCACUAGGGGCUCCAUUUUCGAGACCCUGAGACCAUGACCUGAGCCGAAAUCAAGAGUCGGAGGCUGAACUCACUGAGCCACCCAGGUGCCCCUGGUAUUUUAGUAUCUUUAAUCAUAUUUUCCCCUGCUUUUUGAAUGGAGACCAUACAUUUUCAUUUUGCAAAGGGCCUCACAAAUUAUAUAGCUGAUCCUGUCAAUAAUUAUGUAUUAAGUUAAUAGUUUGGACUCUUGGAAAUCAAAACUUUUAGGUCUCGAAGGAAUAAAGCACGAAGAUCCAGAAACAGCAUCUUGGACUGGAAGGUUUUCCUUCAGGUGAUAUUCCCCAGGAACAACAGAUGAGAAACAUACACCCAAGAACUUCUUGACAAUCAGAGCUAGAAUGGGCCAUCUACAGACAUCUAAGUGAAAUCUCUCACAUGGUAACUGUGGCUUCCAUAGGCAAAUUGACCAGUAGACAUUUAUUAUUUAGCCAAUAAGGUCUUUAGGAGUCAAUAUGAUUGCUUUUUGGCAUGUCAUUUUCUAGCUUGGACCCACUUCCUGUGUUGCCCUAUUAUCUCACAUUUGGUGGCUUCUCAUAAAUUCUCACACUCGUGCAUAUGAAGCCUGGCCCCUAGAACACUUGUGUGUUUUAUUCCUAUUUCCAGUAUCACAUUUAGGAGGAUCCGUCAUGCUUUCUUUUAGGGCUGUAAUUCUAUGAAUCUGAUACCAAAAAGAGUUCACAAAUCCCAUGAGGUAUCCGAGGGAAGUAUUUAUUAUGGGGUGUGAUAUUUUUAUAUUCCCCUCUUCCCUACUGGACUAUGGACUUUAUUUAAGGACACAUGUAUUAGUCAUGGUAGUCUAACUCCUGAAACAAAUAAGCCUCAACUCUCACAGUGGCUUAAAAUAAUAAGGGUAGGUUUGUUGCCCUCAUGUCUGGUCCAAUGGGAGUUAGUUGGGGUUGAUUUACUUCACACAGUCAUUCAGGGUCCCAGGUUCUUCCAUCCUGUGAUUUCCUCAGCUGCUACGUCCUCUGAAUCUUCUACUGGUUCAUUAGCAUUUGGCUGAUAGAUGAGGAAAAAUACAGCCCAUUAGGGGAUUGUGAGAGAUUUUUAGGGGUCAGGCCAGGAAGUGAUAUAUAUCACUCCCACCCACAUUCUACUGGCCUAGACUGUCACCUGGCCCUACUUAACCUCGGGGAAGGUUGCCAGGCCUUAGGGAUUUCCCUUCUAGUGAAGUCCUUUCUGAAAAUUCAGAUACAGGGAAUGGUCAGCUAACGGUCUGUUUUUGAGCCUGUCAUCUACAUUUGAACCUUGCCCUACCCUAAGUUUAAAUCCCCCUCUGCAAUUUUACUAGCUGUAUAACCUUAGGCAACUUAUUUAAUCUUCUCUUAGCCUAUUUUCAUCUAGCUGUGCGCCUAGAACAAGAAGGAAAUAGAUUUCACUGGGAUUGUUUUUGUUGUUACGGUAAGGAUUGCAUGGUGUUUUCUUUAUAUAUAUGAUGGCUGGCACUAGGAAGGAUUCAAAAAAUAUUUUCCAAAUGAAGGAAUAAAUGAAGUGGGCUCACUAGGAUGGGGCGGACUCUGGGAGCAAAAGGAAAAUUCUGAUCUGGGUAGAUUUAAAAUGAGAGGAGGAGUGUUAUUUAGAGAAAAAAGAAUUCAAGGGGUUGACUGGAAUUAUUGGUUUGUUGUUUGUCCUCUGAUCCAGUGACUAAGUAGCUAAUGUCAUGUUCAAACUCAAUCUUCUCUCCCCCAUUUACUCUUCUUCUUUUAGUGAAUUGAUUUUUUCCCUAUUAGAUUCCUUUCUUCUCAUAUUUGUCCAUUCUCCAAAGACUGUGCCAAAGGUCUUCCAAAUUCUGAUCCUGCUCUUUCUGUGGUGUCAUCAAUUGCCUUAAAAACACCCUGCAAGACAUUAGUGGCUCAGCAGAGCAUAAUAAACUUCAGCUUGGCUUUAGGACAAAAGAAAUGCCACACAGACAUAGACUUCAAUGACACAUCUUCCAUAAAAUAAGCUGUCCCCUAAGUGGGGAGAAUAUAAAUGCAGCACACAUUAUUGUAGUAGCAGAUCCUCAUCUCCACCCACAAACUCGAGUAUGCCAGAAUUAUUCCCUUGGCAUUUUCUCAUUUCCUUUAAAUCAACUUCAUUUUUUCCCAUCCCACCUGUCUGGUGCAGAGUUUCAUUUUAGACAUUGUUAGAGGCUGAAUCUGCCCAGAAUCUGGGUUAGAGCCCAGAACCGGGAGAAGGUCCUUUAAUCUCUAGUUUGUCCCAGUUCCUCCUGAGUUCUGCAUUGCCCAAACCAGAGUCCAGAUGUUCUGGCUUCCCUGACAGGCCUGCGCUCAGUGCCUCAGUGGUCCAGGAUCCCAGAAAUACCACGUGACCAUUCUGUGUGAGGCCUUGUCUAUGUGGAGUUAUUCAGAGAGUCUAGAUUGGAAGUUAAUGGUGGAGAAGAAUACAAUCAAUGAUUAGUAGCAAGGUUUGGUGUCACUCCCUUGAUUACUGCUAAUGUCACUGUUACCCAGAUUGCUUUUGCAACAUCAGUGCAAAUGUCAACAUAGUGACUAUCGAUGGGAAGACCUCAGCUGUCUUGCUACGAAGUACUUUUUAGGGAGACAAAUUCCAUGGCACCUAAGAAUCUAAGUUCACACCAUGGUAAGGAGUUUGAAAAUAAGUUAUAUAUGAUGUUAAAGCAAAGAAACCCAAAGCUGAGUAGGAUGGGGUAAGCUCAAGCCCAACAUAUAAGCAACAAACCUAAAGAAUCUUUGACCCAAUAUCCAAACCUGGAUUCAAUACCCCCACUUGCUUUUCUGCUCUAUUUCAUUCAUCUGUUAUAAGAAUUAUAAUUAUGUAGUUAUAUUACAUUAUUGUUUACUAAUCUAAUUAUAGUUGUCAAUCUAAACAUGAAAGUAGCAGGAAUAGUCUCCGUAAGUUCAGACAUUACUUUCUUUACCCACAAAAUAAACAUGGCCAUUUUACAAAGAAUUAAACUUGAGUUUCUCAAGGAUGUUGUAUUCCAAUCAUUACCAAAUAUUGUGUAAAAGUCCCACUAAGAAAUUAGAUUUCACCCCCUGGAUCACUUGGAAAGAGUAAUAAUACCACCUUAUGUAUGUAGCAAAGCAACUGUACAUCAGCCAGUUUGAUCAUCAUCCCAGCUCAGUGUAAUAAUGAUAGAGUAGCUUAUUAUUAAUCCCAUUAUGCAGAAGGGAACACUGAGAAAUUAUGUGAUUUGCCCAUGGUCAUAUAUUUAUUAAGUGGAAGAAAUGGGACCAUAACCCAGGCUAUUGUCUAAAAGCCUUCAAUCCUUUCUGUUCUCUGUUCAUGUACAUUUUGGCUCUGUUAAAUUAUGUUGUUUUUAUUUUCCCAUUAGCUCAAGAACAACAUCCUUAGUAGAACAUCUGGAUUUAAUAUUCUUUUACAAACUCUUCAGAGUCUAUUCAUUUGAAUGAAGGGCUUUUGUCAACAGUUAACCCUUCAGACUGCCUCUCAGAAAAGCAAAAGCAAGACAGUACAGAUUUUGAACUACAUUUUAUAGUAACCAGGGAAUAGAUUUUCCUUUCUAAUUCAGUAGAAUGAAUUAUUUACAGUCAAGAUAGACCAUUGGAUCAAACUUUAUCUCUUCAAGCACCAGACAUUUCCAGAGUCCAGAAAAGAGAAGGGGUCAGUCACUGAGAUUGUUUGUUUAUGUCAUAAUCCUGAUCAGGCAUCAUUAGAAUAGAGAAGAUUUAGGGAGUCCGAGAUUCCAACAUAUUUGCAGGGCGGGCAAAGACCUGAAGUCUGAGCAUAGUAGGUAGGCCAAGGGAAUAUCGGUCUUCUGAUGAGAAAGAAGGCAGAGGGGUAACACAUGGAUUCUAAGGUAGGUCUACAAAUAGGCCCUGUUCACAGGGGUGGGACAGCAAGAUGGGUAGCACAACAGGAAAAGGGCUCAAGCCAAGAUCUCUGUCAUGAGCCCCUUAUAUUCUAUUAGGGAAGAUAUGACAUGGGUGUUUGAACCAGGAUUACAACCUAAGCAAUCCAGCUCCAGAGUCCCCAGGCAUUUAAUGGCCCAACGCAUAAUUGGUAAGGGCAUUUAGAGAAGUGCCAACUGAGUAUUACAUGGGAACAGAAGGGGAGAGAGAGACAAGCAGAUGCUAUUCUGCCUGGAUGGAAUAAGGAAAACUUCAGAGAAUAAGGAAGGCUUCAUGGAGAGGUGCAUUUGAAUGGGCUUGGAUAUUGGGGAACAUUUUGAUAGAUGGAGAACAGAAUAUGAAUGAUGGAAAAAACCCACCUAAGACAGUUUAGGCAAAACAGAAAUGUUUUGGCUUACAUGCCUGAAAAAUCUAGCAAUGGUUGUGGCUUCAAGCUCAGUUUGAUCAGGGCUCCUAGUAGCAUUGUAGGGAAGGAAAAGAAACCUCUUCUCUGUACCCUCCUACCUCCGAUGCUCUCUGGCUGGGGCCCUACAAAUUAGACUGACAAAAAGCAGAUUGACAAGAAAAAAAACCAACACAUGCAGCAUGCAUGUACAUAGGAGAAACUCAGUGACAAGUAACUCAAAGUGGUGGUUAGAACUUGGGCUUAUAUAGCAUCUUAACAAAGAAGAAUAAAUUUGUACAGAAGUGAUUAGAAAAAGGAAAAGAUUUUAGGCUUCCAAGGGCAGCAAAUUGUGGGAAGGUAAAUAAACCUAUAGGGAAAACUAACAGAGGAAGGUUGGUUUGUGUAGGUCCAUCUUGGUGCCAACUUUUUAUCUUCUUCGUUGCCAUAAGACUUCCACAGGAGAGGACAGUCCUCAUUUCUCAGAAGUUUCUACUUUUAGUCAGAUGAUGGACCCUCCACGAAGGCUUCUUUCUGCAUCCAUUGAUUCUCAUUUUCCUCCAACUCAAAAUAAUCCUUUUGCCAAAGUGGCAUAUUUUGGGGUGGGGUAUUUUGAUUUCCUGCAGCAUCUUCAGGACCUGGUUUCUCACUCCCUCUAAGCUCUGCUUUUGGCCAUGUUGACCUCACACUCAGACAGGCCUUCUCUUCCUGGUAGCAAGAUGGCUGUCGUAGUCCAGUGGCAGGCAGACGGUCUCCAGGACUGCAUUCUUAACCACGACACCAGACUUCCUCCUGUGUAAAGGAGCUUAUACUUUAUCCUGAGGAGACAAGUUCUUGUAUGGAGCUCUGCGGCUUUGUUCUAUUAGCAAGACCGGAUGGAGUGUUUGUGAAACAGCAGUGAAAUCUCUUGGAACAAAAUGAGAUCACUCUUGCAAUGGUUCUGCCCCAAAGCAUAUUUAUAAGCAAGUCAUAAAACCCCCAUUCGAGAGACGUCCAACUUGUACCUAGAGGAAGGGAGUGUUCUUAUCUCUGAAGACAAAGUGACACCACCAAGAAGAAUCUGAACAAACAGGUCUUGCUCAAUUUCCCCCAGUUUACUACACUUACCUCAUACUUUCUGACCUAUCAUAUUUUUACAUGACUGGCCACUUCCCAGCAAAUGUAGCAUAAAAAGACUCAGGUUUAUCUGUUUCUUCAGGUCUUCAUUUCCUUAUGAAGGCUCCCAGGUCCUGUAAAAUUUAUACUAAAUAAAUUUGUGUGCUUCUCUCCUAUUAAUCUGCCUUUGUCAGUUUAAUUUUGAGACCCAGCCAGGAACCCUGAGUGGCUUGAAGAAAACAUUUUACUACCUUACUCUAGCUUAACUCUAAUUUAUGUGCAUAGACAGACACACACACACACACACACACCAUUGUUCCUUCUUUUUACCACUCAUAUCAUUUUCUCCAUCUUCCAGUCCCCUGGUCAAAAAUUUAUCACAUGAACACAUAAAUUUAUUAACCUGUCAAAGCGUCAGAAUGGAAAUGGAAUGGUGCCAUUCGUAAAUCACUAUUUAAAAAAAAAAAAUUCUUUGCAUUUCAAAAGUGAUUUAAAUAGAUGUCCUAAAUUUGGUUAGUUUAAAAAACAGUCUGUUCCAGAAAGUCUGUGACUAAGACAUGAAUAAAAAAAUUAAAACACAUUAAAGAAGUAUUAGUGUACAGACUUAAAUAAUUGUGCAUUGUUCUAAAACUUAAAAGGUCAGAGAUCUUUGGGUCAGGGGAGAGAAAAUUUCUCAAUUGGAGAAUAUCCCAGUUGGGUUUAUGUAUUUCUCAGGAGCAGUGCUAUUCUCAAUUUUUUAUUUGUUUGGUUUUGCUCUUGCCACAAAGGAAAAACGGAAGCUAGCCUACUGGAAGGGCCAGGAGACUCCCGCCUUGAGAAGUUAGCUGCCAAGCACCAAUUCUCAGGGGUAACUGGCACAGAGUUUCCUGGGAGGACUUGGUCAUCAGGAUCCUCCAGCGCCCAGGAGCGAAGGAGCUAAGGUGGGGGAUACAUUUGCCUCUCUAAAAAGGCUCCAUAGGAGUUGGUUGGACUCUGCCUCAGAGAUCGGAUUAAACAAAGCACUAUUUGGUAACAGUAGAAAGUCUGUCCAAAAAGUGCCCCUACAUUUGCAUGUAUUUAUUUACAUUUUGUUCUAAAAUCUCCAUGCACUUAGGAUUCAAGCACAUCUGACUAUGGGGUGAGUCUCCAGGGUCCUUUAAAUGGCAGAGGCGGCAGGCGGCGCCCGCGGUACCAGCGUGCCAGAGGCCGGUGGGCAGGAGCGGCCGCACCCGCCGCAGCCACUUGGGGCAUUUUUGGUCACUCUCAGUGGGGGAGCCACUAAAUUUGGCAGUGACCAGAGACCACUCCCCAAAGAGCCACAAAAGAGAAACGGGAAUGGCACCUGUCCCAUCACAGCGAAGGACCAGGACCGCUAUUGCGCGUGGAUGACAUUCCCCGGGGACACUGAGGACCAGGAUGAGGCGGGGGGGGGGGGGGGAGGGGGCUGCGUCCUGCAGGCAGGUCACAUCAGGGACCAAGAAGCACAACUUUGCGAUUGUAUUGACGAACUCUUCCUUCCCUCCCCUCCCCUCUGC